rnacentral:rRNA from 1 species
ACGGAAGGCAGCAGUGGGGAAUAUUGGGCAAUGGGGGAAACCCUGACCCAGCAACGCCGCGUGAAGGAAGAAGGCCUUCGGGUUGUAAACUUCUUUUACCAGGGACGAUAAUGACGGUACCUGGAGAAAAAGCAACGGCUAACUACGUGCCAGCAGCCGCGGGAAUACGUAGGUUGCAAGCGUUGUCCGGAUUUACUGGGUGUAAAGGGCGUGUAGGCGGAGCUGCAAGUCAGAUGUGAAAUCCCGGGGCUCAACCCCGGAACUGCAUCUGAAACUGUAGCCCUUGAGUAUCGGAGAGGCAAGCGGAAUUCCUAGUGUAGCGGUGAAAUGCGUAGAUAUUAGGAGGAACACCAGUGGCGAAGGCGGCUUGCUGGACGACAACUGACGCUGAGGCGCGAAAGCGUGGGGAGCAAACAGGAUUAGAUACCCUGGUA